GGCGGUGGUACGUUGUUGUAUACUUACCUGGACGGGGUCGAUGGGCGAUCAAGAAGGCCCAUGGCCUAGGCUUGCGGCCCACAUUGCACGUGGUGGGAGCGCUCGUCUACCAUCUCCCCAAGUGGGAGAGUGGGCGUCAUAAUUUGUGGUAGGAGGGGGUACGCGUCCGCGCGGCCCCUGCCAAUUUCAAACCUUAAACGCGCUCCGAACCCAUCAUUCAUCUGCGAGCAGUGGAUAAACCAACAACGGUGGAUGGUGAAUCUCUUCAUGCACCGUUGGUGAAUCUCUUCACCGCAUGAAGGACACAAAGAGGCUUUUGAACAAAAAAAAAGAAGAAGAAAAGGCAUCAGUUGAGAUCCAUGAAAGCUACCUAAAAUACCAGAUUAUCGGGAGUCAUGAAUUUUGACCCUCGAAAUCUAUUCAAAUUACGGAAUCUGCCACCUGUACUUCAAGUUUCUUUCCAUCCGCUGUAAUAGAUUAUCUUGUGAGAAAAUAUGGAUCAUUUAUUGUACAAUGAAUGGCAAACAAAAAUAAAAAUUUAUUUCGUAUAUAA